rnacentral:lncRNA from 1 species
ACAAAAGAACUCAACAUGGUGGUGCAUGCCUUUAAUCCUAGCCCUUGGGAGGCAGAAGCAGGCAGACCCCUGAGUUUGAGACCACCCUGGUCUACAGAGUGGGUUUCAGAAAAACCAGGGCUACACAGAGAAACCCUGUCUCAAAAUAAACAGACAAACAAAAAGUUGUUGUUGGUGGGGACUUGUUGAAUGACUGAAUGAGCACAGAAGUGAAGAGCCUGGCUCCUGAAGAUGCCCUUGGGAGGCUAGGAUCUCCUUGGAGUCUUUGCCUGCUUGCUUUCCACACGUGCUAGCUUCCCUGUUGAUACUGGAUCACCCCAGAAGUGGAACGUUCUUGGUGGUACGCAUAUCUUUUUGUAGAUGGGGAAACAGAAGGGAAGCAGUGAGCAUUACUUACUUACUUAAUUAAUUAAUGGCAGGGCUGAGACUUGAAGCCGGGGCCCCUGAUCCCAUUCUGCCUGUCUUCCAGGUUGCACACCUGUUAUCUCCUGAGCACACCAGGAAGAUGGCCUGGGCUGAGAGUGCAGAUGGGAUUAGAGGGUGCAGGGACUUCCUUGCUGACCUGAGAGGAAAGUGAGGCGCAGAGGGAGAAUACAGGCAGGGAGGGGAGGCCUUGAUGCUACCUGAGAGC